GCAAACUGCGCGUCGCCAUGUGAACUGCAGGACACAUGAUCAUUGACAUGUUGAACGCAUAUUGCGCCUUAUACAUUUGGUUCUCUUUAUAUAAUGUACACUUUUAUAAUGUGGGACUGUAUAAGGUACAUAUGGUUGAGUGUCGUAAUUUCAUAUGAUUACAACUAUCAGUAAUGUAUAUUACAUAAUAUAGUGUCAUGAAAGCCGUCAAUUGUGACGAUUUAUGACUAAAAUGCUAAUCUAAUGUCAGUUUACGCCUAUUUUUAAAUAAAUGGGAGGAAGAGUGAAAACUUCAAAAUUCGCGCAUUGUGCACGAGUCUUGUGAGAUUCUUUUUUGGCGCUAACUUUACAUAUAAUUUUGUGUCUCGUUAGUUGCACCUGACUCGCUUUGCUACUCCGUACGAUUUUGAGAAACAGUAGUUCUUCCUAAUGUAUAGCAGUGAAACAUAUAUAAUAAUAAUAAAUAAUAAAAAAACACAAUUCGCGACCUCAACUCAUGUGUG
rnacentral:rRNA from 1 species